GUGUUGUGUGAGGAUAAGAAAUGCAGAGUGGUACCACAAGUCACCAAAGCCACCAUUCCCCUAACAGACGAAAGGCUCAUGGUGACAGUCCCUGCAGUUUACAGCAAAGCUCUCAAUUGUAGCCCUACGAACUUCAGAUACUGCCGAGGGCGUAGCUUGGGUGCACCGGGCCGGUUUUCCAGCCGUGUGGAAUCAACAUCUCCAGCUGAACUGGGGCCGGGAAUUAUAUAAGACUCCUCAGCAGCACAAGUGCCAGCCAGUCGUUGCCAUUCUUUACAUUGUUGAGGAGGACAGUCCUUCCAACAUAACAGUUCAUUCAAUAAGAGGUAAAGAACGGAUCAAUGAUUUCCUGGAUACGGACAAGACCCACUCCCUGCAGGGAUUAAGCAGAAUAGAGCAGUAUUGAAAAACAAGAACAAAACUUUUUAAUAAAAACAAAACACUUUCGCUAGAAAGCACAGAAGCAAAAAGCAGCAAUGACCAUACACUGAAGUGAUUGGAGUUUCACCACGAUAUGAUACUAUAAAGAAAGUCAUCAAGUCGGUCGGUUUUGCAGGUGGUCUGUGCAAAAGUGCAAAAAAUUUGUGACGCAAACCAAAAUACUUAGACUAAAGUUUUCAAAAUACUGUCUUUGAACUUUAAACGUAUGUUCACAUGAAGUGAAGAUGUAUUUGACAUCUAUAUGAUAUGGAUCAGUCCAAUAUUUGUAAGAGGGGGGAAAGGAUUCGUAAAAAUUUCGUGAUGCAAACAAGUAAUCAUUUUCAAGACAAUAAUGAAUUAUAAAUAUUUAAAAGAUACAUACUGUGGAAGAACUUUUUAUACAUACUUAUUCACAUUAGUUAAGAAAAAUCUGGACUCAGUUUGUUCUGUACCUAGCAAGCAAUAAUAUGCAAAUAAAGUAACUUUAUUAUUCAUAUAAAUUAAGUCUGGUAACUUGUUUAACAGUAUGAAAUAAAUAGCACAACAGCUACCUAUUAGUUUGACUGACCACUGUGCAUACACUGUGAUAUAUAGCCAUGGAUAUUAAAGUGACCAUUAAAGCUGCACUCUCACAAAUUGACAGAUUUGACCUUUUUAGCUCGACUAUUCGCAGAAUAAGGAGAGCUAUCCUAGUCACCCGAGCGUCGGCGUAACCACUUGUGUAAAAGUUUGCGUACCACCUCAAAUAUUUUCAAAGUCCAUUGACAUAUGGCUUAGAAAAUUUGCACACUUGUUCUCUAUCAUGCCCCCAACCUAUACACGGGAGGAGGUAAUUCUAUCAAUAUUUUGACAAAAUUAUGCCCCUUUUUAGACUUAGACUUUACGUUAAAGUUUGCGUACCACCUCAAAUAUUUUCCAAUUCAAUUUAUGUAAAUAUCUCAGCACAUCAUGUAUUGCAUUUUUAAAUCUAAUCUAACAGUGAUCCAUCCAUGUUUGGCCAAAACUUUUCAAUCCAUACACCGAAAAGCGGCGAAAUAGUCGAGCGCGCUGUCUCUGUGACAGCUCUUGUUUUAUUUUUUGUCUCAGAAUCUAUAUAAUCAUAUAAUGAUAACACAACUUAGGUCUUUCCAGGAUUAGUGUGCCACUUUGUAGGUUAAUAUUCAUGCAAGUAUGAAACUGACAGGAAAUUUUGGAUAUUUGCUCAGUAACCACAACAUUAUGUCAUUCUUGUUGUAUUCAUCAAAAGCUAAUAUAGCUUUAAAAAUUGGGUACAAUUUUCCACCAUUCUGUCAACUGCAUGCUGCAUUGUUGCUACAGUUAUAGUGAAUUUUCCAUAAAAAAUAAGAUUGAGUUUCAAAGAGACAAUACAUAAAUCCGUCAACAAUUUAUUAAAUGGACAUUUUUGCAUUGAUAAGAUUUUUUGGAACCCAGAUCUAGAAUAUUGGAGCCUUAGGCCAUAAUAAUACAAAAACCUUGUCAUAUGUACACAACCACCUUUCAAUAUAAUUAUUUUAAGAGAUAUGGUAA